AGCCACGUGAGCUGUGUGAGCUCCUCGAGGCUCAUCGGGCAGGCACCCUUCUUGCUAAUCUUGCAGUGAUGGUGACAAGCAUCGAGGCUAAAUUAAGUAGCAUCCUUGAGCUUACAUCUUCUCAGCUCCUUGCACUGAGCAGUGCACAGGGCCGUGUGAGAUUCUUCCUUCCCAUUACCUCAUAGACAUGUUUAUGGUCUGUAGUCGAUUCCCGUGAUUCUGGGUGUUGACUCAUAGAUGAAAUUGAACUGGAAACCUUCGAGGAAGUGAAUUCUCAGCGGACAGCUGGACAUGGGAGGAUUUGGAACCUUAUCGGUAGACUUGACCAUUCAUAACCCAUCGCCUUCAAAAGAAUGAGCAUAUCUUACCAUGUUACCACUGAACAGUGAGCUUGGACAUGGAGGAAUGUGCAUCCCUCUGUGAAUGGUAGAGCAGAGAUACUGCGUUCUCUUGAGUGUCGUACCCGAGAAGUCAUUCUUGCAAUAAUAUUGUGAUGGCUGAAAUCUCUUAGUAGGUCUCUCUUACAUUUGUAAUUCAUCCUCUUGAAGAAGUAACAAGCUUAACCUUCCUGGCCAAGAAAACUUCCUAAAACUGAAUCCAAGUAAGCCUGGAAGCACAGGGGUGUGACACUUUGCUAGAAGGUGAUUACCUUCUGUGAAUACUCGAUGACUAAAGCCCUUAACUUUGUCCCCUCUAAAGCCAUCCCCAAUCUUAUGGGCCACACUUUCCAGGCCACCACCAACUUCAAUCUUGCUGGGAGGACAAUGAAAGCAGUCUUACUUGAGACAGUUGAAAAGCAGUCAGGUUCCAAGGAAAUGAAGUUUAUAAAUGUGUUGUUAUGAACUCUUGUAAUCAGCUCACACACUGGCAAGCUUGACACAAUGUUUUUAUUGUGGCGAGUUACCCAUCGGGCGUCCUUAUAAUCAGCAGAGACCGUGGACUCUGCGCAGACGGAGACUGAAUUAGUGCCCUGUUGGCACUCUGAGAGAAGGCAGAUAAACUGUUCUAGAUGACUGAGAAUAAUAGAUCGGUCUGGUUGGAAUAGCAGGAAUGACGACUCUCCAGCAAAAACUCCAGCACAGAGAGACAGUGUUUUCCUAAGGAAAACCUCUCAGGACCUACACGGAGAGCCUCCUGUCGGGGAAGCGUGAAGACCGGCACCUCUCCACAGUCAGCCUCUCUCACGGCUCCUCUACUCUGUGUCCGUGUGUCUAGUGAGGAAGGCCACGUCGGCCACAGCUCCCUGUGUGUGUGGUUGCCGCCCUGCCUACAGUCACCGUCAAGGCCUUGCCUGCUGGAGACGUGUCUGCCGUCUGUGUUCGUGUGAACACUCGUGGUGGAGUGUUUCAAGGGUUUCCUGUGGUCAAGCCAGUUUGAAUUGGAAUGAAUGCUUGAUGAGUGGCGGAUUGUGCAAGGCGGGGAAUUUAUGCAAACUCAGCCUGUCUCGAUGGGGUUCCUGCAAAAACACGGCAACACCAGACACUGAAAGUAGUCCGCAGAGGACAGGAGCCCCUUGCAGGGCCAGAAAACCCUGGAAAUGGGUGGCCUAGACAGAUUAUUGAAUUCCUCUCGUUUUCCAGAGGAAAUGAUUCAAGAACGGCACAUGUACAUCUAUUCUUCUGGGGUGUAAUUCAUGAAGUCCAGCAUGGAGACAGAAGAGGGGUCUGAUCAACCGUUUCAAUCCUGGAAGUGUGUCAUUUUAAAAGCUAAAAAAAUGUAAAGCGUAAUUUUAAACGAACAGAAGAUGGAUUUUAUCUAGGUGGGGAACCAAGUUCCUGUUUGAAAAGUGUAGUGGGAAUGUCAGCCUGAUACGGGGCUGUCCUGAGUUUGAACACGAUUGCUAAUAAAAAUAAAACACUA